rnacentral:rRNA from 1 species
GAUGAACGCUGGCGGCGUGCCUAAUACAUGCAAGUCGAGCGAACAGACGAGGAGCUUUCUCCUCUGACGUUAGCGGCGGACGGGUUAGUAACACGUGGAUAACCUACCUAUAAGACUGGGAUCACUUCGUGAAACCGGAGCUAAUACCGGAUAAUAUAUUGAACCGCAUGGUUCAAUAGUGAAAGACGGUUUUGCUGUCACUUAUAGAUGGAUCCGCGCCGCAUUAGCUAGUUGGUAAGGUAACGGCUUACCAAGGCAACGAUGCGUAGCCGACCUGAGAGGAUGAUCGGCCACACUGGAACUGAGACACGGUCCAGACUCCUACGGGAGGCAGCAGUAGGGAAUCUUCCGCAAUGGGCGAAAGCCUGACGGAGCAACGCCGCGUGAGUGAUGAAGGUCUUCGGAUCGUAAAACUCUGUUAUUAGGGAAGAACAAAUGUGUAAGUAACUAUGCACGUCUUGACGGUACCUAAUCAGAAAGCCACGGCUAACUACGUG